UACGUAGGGUGCGAGCGUUAAUCGGAAUUACUGGGCGUAAAGCGUGCGCAGGCGGUUUUGUAAGCCGGAUGUGAAAUCCCCGGGCUUAACCUGGGAAUGGCAUUCGGGACUGCAAGGCUGGAGUGCGGCAGAGGAGACUGGAAUUCCUGGUGUAGCAGUGAAAUGCGUAGAUAUCGUGAGGAAGACCAGUGGCGAAGGCGGAUCUCUGGACAGCUCCUGACGCUGAGGCGCGAAGGCUAGGGGAGCAAACGGG
rnacentral:rRNA from 1 species